CUGAAACUCAGUCCACUUCCUGUGACGAUGUCACCUUCACACAUUCACCUGCUGAUGUGUGUGUAUUUGUUUGUAUUUAUGGAUAUGGUUGUUACCGUGCGAGUCAGUGUGUCAUUAUGAAUGUGUAUGUGUGUUGUGGUGAGCUGGUGGGGGUGUAUCUGUAAAUAGGUGUACUUUCACAUGUUUAGCUAUGUUUUCUGUCUGUGUAUGUGUGUGUUCAUCAGUGUUGUUUUCAGCAACCCUUUUAAUUUUUUAGUCUGUAUUUUGGACGAAAAUAGUUAUUACAGUGAUCCCUCGCUACUUUGCCCUUCAAACUUCGCGCCUUUAGUCCAAAGUGGAUUUAAAAAUAAUAAUACAGAUGUGCUGUCCCGAGCCGAUCGCGUAGUCUGUCUCUCGCUCCCUCCCUCCCUCCCUCUCCCUGCUCUCUGUUGGUCAGUGCACUGGAGUUGCUUAUUAAGGUUAACGAUGAUUGACAGACAUUUAGUGUUUGAACUUGCCAGAGAAGCGAACUUCAAGCGCCGCAUGUGUCAAUCAUCGUUUAACUUGUUAAACAGUUGCUAUGGCAACUCAUUGUGUGUAAGUCAGCUGAUUAGAGUGGACUCACUCGAUGAAGUAUUUAAUAAAGCCAAGCGUUUUUCGCAACCUCAGCUUAUGUCAGCGACUAGAGUUGUCGUCAUGAUGCUAUUUCCUGGUUAAUUGCGGUUGUAGAUGUGAGUGCGAUUAUGCAGAGAUUGGGAAGUGUGUUGUAAAAAAUUUAAUCAAAAAUGGAUGGAACAUGGUUAUUUAAGAGGUGGUUGUCCCCUAGUGAAAAUAACAACAGUGCCUGGUGCAAAGUCUUGCAAAAAAACAUUUCCGUUUGGGACAGUUGGGGUCAAAACCAUCUAGUUCAGUGGUGUCCAAACUAUUCCACAUAGGGCCGCAGUGGGUGCUGGAUUUCAUUCCUACAAAACAAGACGACAUCUUUUCACCAAUCUUGUGUCUUACAAGUGUGAUUAGUUGAUUGCAGUCAGGUGCUGCUUGUUUUAGCACAAACUUCAUUGGUUAAACUGUCUGUGCUUGAUUGGUAGGAACAAAAUCAGGACCCACAGCGGCCCUUGCGGAAAGGUUUGGACACCCAUGAUCUAGUUGCACAUGAAAGGAGAAAAACACCAGCGGUCCGUGGCAGCAGUAAAACUUAACAGGGAAAUAAAAUGUUUUUUUUUCUUCAUCAGAAAUUGUUGCGACAUGUUUUGGUCUAAAAUUAGAUUUUAAAGGACUUAAAAAUGUCUUAAAAUGCAUUAAAUCUGACUUUUAAAAUAGUGCAAGAACCCUGGUAUUGCCAGACAAAUUUGACGACAAGAGCAUCAGUCUUAUCUCAUUGCCCCAGAAUACACUGUGCAUCUAAAACAUGGCGGCCACUGUGUAUCCAGGGCUUUUCCUGCAAUCAAAAUUGGGUGACGGCGGCUUCCAGCUAAUGUUGUGCCGCCCUCGAACCUGAACAAUUGAUAUUGCUCAACAAAAAACUGCAGCUGUGUUGAUUGAGUGAUUGAUGUCCCUCUUCGACAGCUACGUAUUGUAACUGCAGCUGUAGCGAGGCACUAUAUGAACAGCAGUUCACCGGAAAGACCUGAAGCAUCUACCAAAGAAGAAAUGGAACAAAUUGUGUUUUUUUUUCCUUGCACAUGGGUGCUUUCGGUGUCCUGAUUUUCCCUGGCAGAUGAUACAAAAAGUCAGACCAAAUGUCUGGAGGAGGUGCUUCUGUGGUUCUAUCUUCAGAAUCUGCUGAGUUGAGACUUGCAGCUGCUAUCCCCAUCACAGCUCCUGUCCAGACUGCGGAUGUAGAGAGGUUCUUCUCUGCACUCAAAAUUUUGAAGACACCUCUGCGCAACAUAUUGAAGGAGAGGCACUCUCUCUUCUGUAACGUCGCCUUUGAUGGACCAGACCAGAAGGCAUGGAGAGGUUCUACAGAAUGAAAAAGGAGGCGGAAAUAUUCUCUGUCUGGUUGUGAGAUGUGUGGAUUAAAUGUAUUUUCAAUUUAAAGUUGGUACAUGAUUGGUUUACAUAGUUUUAAUAAACAAAGAUUUUAAUAGUUGUAUUCUUUUUGGAACUCUUAUAAGUAUGUCUCACUUGGUUUUUAAUGCAUCAUUAACAUUAGCUGAAUGUGAUAAACUAGCAUACCACACACCAAGUUAGCCUGUUAUCUAUUCUAUUUUUAUUGUAACGGCUGUUUGUAGUGACUGUCCUUAUUGGUUUGUUUCGCCCGCAGAGGUUGAUGAAUAAUUUGUUAAAGCACAAGUCCUGUGUCCCCCUGUUUUGUUCCCCAUGUUGUUGGCCACAUUAUUUUAAAUUGCCUUUCAAGAUGAAAUGUCUUUUUUCGGUGUUGAAUUCAAAUUUUAAACGACUCCAAAAAAUCGCUCGCGUAUACAGUGCUGGCCAAAAGUAUUGUCACCCCUGCAAUUCUGUCAGAUAACUCUCAAUUUCUCCCAUAAGAUGAUUGCAUUUACAAAUGCUUUGGUAGUAAUAUCUUCAUUUAUUUUGCUUGCAUAGAAAAAACACUAAAGAGAAUGGGGGAAAAAAUAAGUCAUUAUCAUUUUACACAAAACUCUAAAACUGGGCUGGAAAAAGUAUUAGCACCCUUUGAAAAAUCAUGCGAUGCUUCUCUAAUUGGUGUAAUUAACAGCACUUGUUACUUACCUUUGGCACAUAACAGGUGGUGGUAAUAACUAAAUCACACUUGCACCCAGUUAAAAUGGAUUAAGGUUGACUCAACCUCUGUCCUGUGUCCUUGUGUGUACCACAUUGAGCAUGGAGAAAAGAAAGAAGACCAAAGUCCAUCUCCAAAGACCUGAAUGUUCCUGUGUCUACCGUGCACAGUGUCAUCAAUAAGUGUAAAGCCCAUGGCACUGUGGCUAACCUCUCGAGAUGUGGACGGAAAAGAAAAAUUUACGAUAGCUUUCAACGAAAGAUUGUGCAAAUGGCGGAUAAAGAACCUUGGCUAACAUCCAAACUUGUUCAAGCUGUCUUGCAGUCCGAGGGUACAAAAGUGUCAACCCGUACUAUCCGUCAGUGUCUGAAUGAAAAGGGACUCUGGUAGGAUCUCAAGGAAGACCCUACUUCGGAAAGGCCAGGCUGGAGUUUGCCAAAACUUACCUGAGAAAGCCACAAAAAAAUUUGGAAGAAUGUUCUCUGGUCAGAUAAGACAAAAGUAGAGCUUUUUUUGGGAAAAGGCAUCAACAUAGAGUUUACAGGGGGGGAAAAAAACGAGGCCUUCAAAGAUAAGAACACAGUCCCUACAGUCAAACAUGGCAGAGGUUCCCUGAUGUUUUGGGGUUGCUUUGCUUCCUAUAGCACUGGUCUGCUUGACAGUGUGCAUGGCCUUAUGAAGUCUAAAGACUAACAACAAUUUCUGCAGCAUAAUGUAGGGCCCAGUGUGAGAAAGCUGGGUCUCCCUCAGAGGUCAUGGGUCUUCUAGCAGGACAAUGACCCAAAACACACUUCAAAAAGCACUGGAAAAUGGUUUGAGAGAAAGCACUGGAGACUUCUAAAGUGGCCAGCAAUAACACCUGUGGAGAGAUCUGAAAAUGGCAAUUUGGAAAAGGCACCCUUCAAAUAUCAGAGACCUGGAGCAGUUGGCCAAAGAAGAAUGGUCUAAAAUUUCAGCAGAGCAUUUUAAGAAUCUCAUUGAUGGUUACCAGAAGCAGUUGUUCGCAGUUAUUUUGUCUAAAGGUUGUGCUACCAAGUAUUAGGCUGAGGGUGCCAAUACUUUUGUCCGGCCAAUUUUUUGUGUUUUGUUUAAAAUGAUAAUAAUUUUUUUUUUUCCAUUCUCUUUUGUGUUGUUUCAUUGCAAGCAAGCAAAAUAAAUGAAGAUAUUACUACCAAAGCAUUCUUAAUUGCAAUCGUUUUCUGGGAGAAAUUGAGCAUGAUCUGACAAAAUUGCAGGGGUGCCAAUACUUUUGGCCAGCACUGUAUAUUACUGAUUCAGCAACUACACCUGACUGUAGCAGUGAACUCUCUCUCUCGCUCUCAUCACUGGCGCGUGCGCAGCCUCAUAUUGCACACGAACAAAGCCCAAACAAGACUGCUCAUAGCUGCUGGCAAAAAUGGAUAAUCAAAUUUGUUGACAACAAUCCAUUGACUUUCCUAAUGAACAAUUUAAUGGUGUAAGUAAAAAAACAAACAAACAAAAACCUGGGAGUGGGAGUAACCACAUGGCAAAGAACUCUCUGAGGAUCUUAAAAGACGUAUUGUUGCGCUACAUGAAGAUGGCCAAGGCUACAAGAAGAUUGCCAACACCCUAAAACUGAACUGCAGCACAGUGGCUAAGAUCAUCCAGUGUUUUAAGAGAUCAGGGUCCACUCAGAACAGGCCUCAGGUUGGUUGUCCAAAGAAGCUGAGCGCACGUGCUGUGCGUCACAUCCAAAUGCUUUCUUUGAAAGAUCGUCGCAGGAGUACUGUCAGCAUUGCUGCAGAGAUUGAAGAGGUGGGGGGUCAGCCUGUUAGUGCUCAGACCAUACGCCGCACUGUACUUCAAAUUGGUGUGCAUGGCUGUCACCCCAGGAGGAAACCUCUUCUGAAAACGGUACACAAGAAAGCCCGCAAACAGUUUGCUGAAGACAUGUCAACAAAGCACAUGGAUUACUGGAACCAUGUCCUAUGGUCUGAUGAGAUUAAUUUGUUUGGUUCCGAUGGUCUCAAGCAUGUGUGGCGGCGACCAGGUGAGGAGUACAAAGACAGGUGUGUCAUGCCUACAGUCAAGCAUGUUGGUGGGAAUGACAUGGUCUGGGGCUGCAUGAGUGCUGUAGUUGUUGGAGAGUUACAUUCUAUUGAGGGAAACAUGAACUCCAACAUGUACUGUGAAAUACUGCAGCAGAACAUGAUCCCCUCCCUCCAGAAACUGGGUUGCAGGGCAGUGUUCCAGCAUGACAAUGAUCCCAAACACACCUACAAGAUGACCACUGCUUUACUUAAGAGGCUGAGGGUAAAGGUGAUGGACUGGCCAAGCAUGUCUCCAGACUUGAAGCCAAUAGAACAUCUUUGGGGGAUCCUCAAGCGGAAGGUGGAGGUGUGCAAAGUCUCAAAUAUCUGGCAGCUCUGCAACCUCAUCAUGGAGGAGUGGAAGAGCAUUCCACUGGCGACCUGUGAAGCUCUGGUUAUCUCCAUGCCCAGGAGAGUAAGGGCAGUUUUGGAUAAUAGUGGUGGCCACACAAAAUAUUGACAGUUGACAUGUUGUAUGUAAAAAUUGACAACUUUCACUAAGGGGUGUACUCACUUUUGUUGCCAGGGGUUUGGAUAUUAAUGGCUAUAUUUUGAGGUAAAAAAAACUCUAUUAUUACUCUAUUAUAUAUUUAUAUUAUAAGCUGCACACAGACUACUUUUGAUUGUGUCAAAGUGGCAUUUUGUCAGUGUUGUCCCAUCAAAAGAUAUACUUAAAUACCUAUAGAAAUGCGAGGGGUGUACUCACUUUUGUGAUACACUGUAUAUCUUAUUUGCUUCAAGCGCACAUCCCCUUCCUCACCUGCUGAUUUUGAUGUGUCCAUGUUGUUUGUGCAAAUUGCAAAAGCUGGUGAUUUUUCGACAAUAGUAAACAUUAAGCCUCGUGAGGGCAUGGCAAAGUCGAUGCGUUGACUAAAAGACUAAUUGGUUCAUCCCCUAAUCUAUCUAUGUAAAUGUGUGUG